rnacentral:rRNA from 1 species
CAAAGGUUUGGUCCUGACUUUACUAUCAAUUGUACCCUAAUUUACACAUGCAAGUCUCCGCCUCCCCGUGAGAAUGCCCUUAAUGUCCUGCCCGGAAUUAAGGAGCAGGUAUCAGGCACAUCUAAUAGUUUACUAGCCCAUAACGCCUUGCUCAGCCACACCCCUACGGGUAUUCAGCAGUGAUAAAAUUUAAGCCAUAAGUGAAAGCUUGACUUAGUUAAGGGGAAGAGGGCCGGUAAAACUCGUGCCAGCCACCGCGGUUAUACGAGAGGCCCAAAUUGAUGAAAAACGGCGUAAAGCGUGGUUAAGAAAAAAAGAGAAAAUAUGGCCGAACAGCUUCAAAGCAGUUAUAC